GCCGCGCGGGCCUGGCGCACGGGGAUUCGGCCGCACAGACGGCGGCGGCGGCAGCGGCAGCGGCUCCGCAGAGGCGCGAGGCUGCGGGAGCGCCCGAGUCGCGAGCUCGCGGGGGCAGCGAAGGGCGACGCUCGCGACGCGGAGGACGCAGGCGGCGGCGGCGGGCGGGCCUCGGGGCACAGCGCGGUCCGCGCCGAGUGAACGGAGGCGGCUCGCGGCCCCUGCCGCACCGCGAGCCGCGAGCCCCCCGGCCGCGCCCUGCCCCCCCAGCCCCUCCCUCGUUCCCUCCCCGGCGCAACAUGGCUGCGGCCGCCGCCUCCGCCUCCCAGGAUGAGCUGAAUUCUUUAUACAAUUGCAUAUGUACGAGUGGAUGAACGUACCAUUGGUGAUCCCGAGGAUUUUUGUCAAGAUUGGAUAAACCAUGUAUCACAUUGAUUGUAGAGAUCAGCUUGAACGGGUCUUUUUACGACUUGGCCAUGCUGAAACAGAUGAACAAUUACAGAAUAUUAUAUCUAAAUUCCUUCCUCCUGUUUUGCUCAAACUCUCUAGCACCCAAGAAGGAGUACGUAAAAAGGUAAUGGAACUGCUGGUCCAUCUGAAUAAACGUAUAAAAAGCCGCCCC
rnacentral:lncRNA from 1 species